rnacentral:lncRNA from 1 species
CUUGAGCAAACCCCACCUGCAGGCCGGGGCUUGGGUGGUCCCUUCUGCCAGCUCAGGAGCUCGGCUCCAGGCCUCCUCCUCAUCUGUCAUUUCCAGUGCCUGUCACUCAUGCACCACAGAUGGGUCAGAGCAGGAGGCGGCCGGGGUGGCCAGCCCUGUGUGUGCAUAGUGGGGGGGCAUCUCUGGGCAGAGAGGGCCAAGACAAGACUCAGGCCACACCCGUGGGCCCAGCAUAUUCCUGGACCCAUUAUCAGGGCCAAAUGCUUCCCAGGAUCGCAGGCUUCUGGGCCCAGCCUCCUGAAUAAAGGCUGCCCACCCAGGUGGGGAGAAGGCCCCUCGGUGACUUUAACUCCACAUGUGCUGCCGGUGCCUCGUGGAGGCCGACUAGAGUUACAUGCAUUUCAGGUGGUUUAACGAGGUGCCUCCAGCCCUGGGACCCUGCUCGCUGUGAGCUAGCGAGGUGGGGCUGCCCACGCACUGCCCGUACCUUCCUCCCGGCCUGGGUGUUCUCGAGGUCAGGAGGCAGACAGGGCUUAGCAGCCAGCGACACCUAAUGGGGUGGAGGAGGCAGACGGUGCUGAGAAGAGGCCCAUAGGCCAGCCCGCUGACCCCGCCCCAAACUGGGCCCCCAGAGAUCCCAAACAAGCAACCGCAGAGGGAUGCCCGGCCCAGCACACAAACCAAGCCAUGGCCUCAGAGGGCAGGCCCCAGCAGGCUCCACGAGGGGGCACACAGGCACAGGCGCACACGCCUCACUACGGCCGUAUGAGGGGUGAAGGGCACCCUCUGCGGAGUUGCCCACGUCACCAAGCCCAGCAGGCACUGUGGGUGAUGGCAGGGGAUUGGCAUCAGCGCUGGAUGGGGCAGAGACCAAGGGCCUUCCGCGCUGCAUGGUUUAGGGCGCAGCCACCUCGCCACGUCCCCCACGUCACCUUUCUCCUCGAUGUCCAGCACAGCAUUGCUCAACAGCAGAAUAGUCAGCUCCCCCCCCCCCAUAUUCUAACAAUGUAUUUAUGAUCACAUUGGGUUUUGAUCAGAGACUCUGUCCAGUUAAAUCUCCCUAUUUUGAGAUGUAUUAAGGUUCUUUAAACAAUUUAACAAAUUGUUUCAAAAAUGUCCUGUGGGCAUAAGGAAACAAAAUGUCUCCAUUAUUGGGAUCCAGAAAUAGAGAUCUGGUCUGAAACAGUCCUGGCACUCUCUGCCACUCCUCCCACGGACUCUGGGCUUUGUGACCAGGGGAAGGCAGGAAGGAUGCACAGAGGAUGUGGCAGUCUCCUGGCACUUCCACCCCCUGGAAGGCUCGCUUCUGAGACCAGCUCUGAGCAAUGCAGUUUCAGAACACUCCUGGGAGAGGGGCCUCGUGCCAGCCCUGCUGGGCUCCUGGGUGCCCUGCUGGGCUCCUAGCUGCCGCCAUGCAGAGCAAGGACAGGUCUGAGCCCAGCUCAGGCUGCAGGCCAGUGACCUGAGCCCUGGUGGCUGUUUGAAGCGGGGUAAAGUAGUGGACAUCUGCUCCACAGCUAGAUCAUAGGAACAGGUUUUUCAGUUUACUGUUAGAGUAGGGAACUGCUCAGGAUCACAACAAUUGAGUCUCUGUCCUUGCUUUGUGUCUGCUAGAAUUGUUCUGCAAGAGGUGCAUAAACCUUCCAUGUCUAACCUGCUCUUCCCUGCACACUGGUUUAGCUUUACACAGUUUACGCUGUUAGUUGCCUUAACAUUUAUAUUUAGGCCUCCCCCCAUAAGUGGUGCCAUCCGUCAUCCACACUCAUCAUAUCUGGACUUCACUGCUGACAAUAAUGUCCUCC